AGGAUUUUAAGUUAAUAAUAAACUAUUAAUUUUCAAAAUUAAGAAUAUUUUUAUAAAUCUUU
rnacentral:tRNA from 1 species